AUUCCAGCUCCAAUAGCGUAUACUAAAGUUGUUGCGAUUAAAAAGCUCGUAGUUGGAUCUCAGGCAUGGGCGCACGGUCCGCCUCGCGGCGGUCACUGUGUGAAUUGUUUUCCCAUCCUACGCUUCCCGGUUGUUCAGCCCAUGGUGCUCUUCAUUGAGCGUUUUGGGUGGCCGGAACGUUUACUUUGAAGAAAUUAGAGUGUUCAAAGCAGGCACAUCGCCUGAAUAAUGGUGCAUGGAAUGAUGGAAUAGGACCUCGGUUCUAUUUUGCUGGUUUUCGGAACACGAGGUAAUGAUUAAGAGGGACAGACGGGGGCAUCCGUAUUGCGGUGUUAGAGGUGAAAUUCUUGGAUCAUCGCAAGACGAACAACUGCGAAAGCAUUUGCCAAGCAUGUUUUCAUUA
rnacentral:rRNA from 1 species